CGGUGCUCCGCGGGCCGGCGGCGCCCGGACGGGAGCGCGCGAGGCUCAACCUUCCCGCGUCAGCGGCCGCCUCGCGGGAAUGUGAGGGAGGGAGUCAGGGCACCCCCGAACCGAGCCCUGACAGGCAGGGAUGCACCGGCCCCUCUGUGAGGGGAGAACACCUAACAGCGAGGAGUGACAGCGCUCGUCCUGUGAAUGGAGGGAGAACCCCUCACGGGUAACGGCGCUGGUCCUGUAAAUGAAGGGAGAACCCCUCACGGGUGACAGCACUCGUCCUGUGAAUGGAGGGAGAACCCCUCACGGACCGAGGGCAUGAGGGUCCCGGCGCCGCAGCCCUGAGGGGCAGCCACAGCCCCCGAGCGCCCCGUCGGUAGCACAAGCGGCCACAGCGUGUCUGUCAGAGCCCUCAUAUGUUAUUCUCGCUUCUAUUUGAAAUUGGAAAUACCUUGAGAGAACAGUCUUAACAUCACCACCUCCAAUCCCAGGACUGCCGCUGCCGCGUAUUCACUCACCUGAAGUUACCGCCUCAAGCAUCCAGCACACAGGUAUCAUUUCCUCAGAGAAACAGCAUUUAACCAGCCUGAGAAGAUAAACUCAACCUUCUCCUACUCAGCAGGGGCCAUACAUUUUAUCAUCAUCAUCAUCACAUUCCACUCCUGUGGAAUCAGCACUAUUUUGUUUUGAAAGAGGAGGAUUCGACAGAAAGAAGAAUAGGACACAGGACAAACAGAAAAUGCUUUGUAAAUUGCUGCCAUCUGGCAGCAGUGGAGAGCAAGACAGAGCCUGUCAAGCCUCCUGCUAAUACCAUUCCAGAAAUGCUGAUGGCUCCAUCUUUCCCGGGCGAAGGGAGCUGGAAUCUCCAGGGACAACCAUCUCCCCAGCU